GUGGUUUAAAAGAGUGGCUGUUAAGUUUUUGGUACUAGUCAGAGUGGGGGUUAUGUGCCCUUUGCUUUUAUCUGGGCUAGCUUGUGAUGGUUUUUACCAGUCAACAGUAGAAGUGACAUGAGGUGACGUGUGGGCCUAGAUUAUACAAGACCAUGCUGCUUUUGCCUUAUUCGCUCCUGGAGCCCUGAACUACCAGGUACAAUGUCUGGUUACACUGAUAUCACAUGCUGGGAGGUCAUGCAUGGUGCUCUACUUAAUACACUUAGUUCUACUGGUUCUUCAACCAUCCUUGUCCAGGCAUGUGUGCAUGAAUCUUCAUGUACAGAAGACAUCCUGGGACCCUCUAGGCCAGCCCAUCUGCCAACUGAAUACCAGAAUCAUUUUUGUCAAACCUACAUGGAACAGAAGAAUCACCCAGCUGAUCCAUAGUCGCAUUCCAGACCCACAAAACUGUGCAAUAUAAUAAAAUGAUUUUUGUCAAAUAAAGAAAUAAAAUCUUUUAAAAAAUUUACUUGCUUAUAAUAAUGUAAACAGCUGGAUAAUGAUUUAACCAGAAAUUGUAGUAUAACUAUUUUGUUGUAAGUCAACAACAAUUCAAAGUUUGGGGAUAGUUUGUAAUAUAAUAAUAGAUGACUGUAAAAUAUUUUAUUAGAAGGCAACUUUUAAUGGUAGCUUCCACACCCUCAAGAUUAUAUUUGGUCUGCAGAUACUGUCCGAAACUCCAAAACCCAUGGUGCUUGGUUCCUUACUGGGGGCUGAGGAGCCAGCCCACCACCAAGUCCUACAAAAGCCUCCAAUCCUUAAUCUAUGGAAUCCAACAGUCUUUCCAAGUUGGGUCACCUUCUUCUCUUACUCUCCAAGCAAAACUCAAUUCCCUGACUGCAUCUCACAAAACAAAUUUAGCCUUUUUUUUAGAGAGAGGGUGAGAGAGAGAGAGAGCACAACCAGGGGGAACUGCAGGAAGAGGGAGAGGGAGAAGCAGCCUCCCCGCUGAUCAGGGAACCUGAUGCCUGGCUUGAUUCCAGGAUGCCUGGACCAUGACUCAAGGCAAAGGCAGACUCUUAACCAGCUGAGCCAUUUUUACAUUUUUACCCCCACCCAUUUACUUUUAAUCUGUAUGUACCUUUAU
rnacentral:lncRNA from 1 species